GGCGCGUGCUGCCUGAGGGGGAGGUGCGGGCGUGUGAGGUCAGCCCCUGCACGCGCCUUCGUGUGCACGCGCAACUCUGCUUGAGGCACAUAUAUAAGCAACACGUGGGUAUACAGAGCCACGGGAACGGUGUAUGAAGCAUGUUUUAGAAGCGAUCACUUACUACUAAUAAGAGGCUCUUCCCACGUGUGUUCCUAGUUAUGGAUCAGGCGAAGCUGAUUAUUGUUUUACUGGCAAAGUUACGUCACUGGCCAGCUACAACAAGGAGUGAAGCCUUCCAUUUCUCACUUGCAGUCACCAGCUUCCAGUGUUCAGUAUUCAUAAAGCUGCUAAAAUCAAAGGAAUGCCAGAACAUCUCCGGUUUCACUGUAAGAAAGAGAAUCUAUCCUGUCUCAUUCUGAGAAAAGCCUGAAAACACGAGGAAGGCAUACCAAAUAAUGGUGUG
ensembl:lncRNA